UGAMCUCUUACGAGGCACGUCAUUCGACUGAGUGACCUAUCAGCUAGUACUUAGGGUCUUUACCUAGGUAGGCUAUCACGGGUAACGGGCGGUUACCGUCGGACUGCCGGAGAAGGCGCCUGAGAGAUAGCGACUAUAUCCACGGGUAGCAGCAGGCGCGAAACUUUCCCACUCGAGACAUUCGGAGGAGGUAAUGACCAGUUUCAUUUAAAGCUUAGGCUUUUGUGAAUAGGAUCGCACCUUUCCAGUGCGGUGAAACCUAGCAGAGGGCCAGUCUGGUGCCAGCAGCUGCGGUAAUUCCAGCUCUGCGAGUUUGCUCCCAUAUUGUUGCAGUUAAAACGCCCGUAGUCGGAAUUGGCCAGCAAUGGUCACACGUAGUUUUUACGUUCACUGUGAACAAAUCAGGACGCUUAGAGUAUGGUUUCAGGAAUGACUCAGCGCAGUAUGAAGUCUUUGUUUUUUUCGGAAAACAAGCUCAAAGAGAGCCAUCA
rnacentral:rRNA from 1 species